AAAUUUGGCGGUAUUUUAGUCUAUUCAGAGGAACCUGUUUUUUAAUCGAUAAUCCACGAUGGACCUUACUUAGAUUUAUGUAUUAGUUUGUAUACCGUCGUUAUAGAAAAUUUUAUAAGAAAAAUAAUUUUCAAUAAAUUUAAUAAUAUUAUAUAUCAGAUCAAGGUGCAGCUUAUAUCUAAGAAAAUAAUGGGUUACAAUAAAAUUAUUUAAAUGGAUGUAAAUAUGAAAAAUUUAUUAAAAGUGGAUUUGAUAGUAAAAUUAUAAAGAUUAAUAAUUUGAUUUUAGCUCUAAAAUAU
rnacentral:rRNA from 1 species